CGUAGGCGGUCUCUUAAGUCAGGUGUGAAAGCCCGGGGCUCAACCCCGGAAGUGCACUUGAAACUAAGGGACUUGAGUAUGGGAGAGGGAAGUGGAAUUCCUGGUGUAGCGGUGAAAUGCGUAGAUAUCAGGAGGAACACCGGUGGCGAAGGCGACUUCCUGGACCAAUACUGACGCUGAGGCGCGAAGGCGUGGGUAGCAAACA
rnacentral:rRNA from 1 species